rnacentral:rRNA from 1 species
UACGAAGGGGGCUAGCGUUGUUCGGAUUUACUGGGCGUAAAGCGCACGUAGGCGGAUCGUUAAGUCGGGGGUGAAAUCCUGGAGCUCAACUCCAGAACUGCCUUCGAUACUGGCGAUCUUGAGUCCGGAAGAGGUGAGUGGAACUCCUAGUGUAGAGGUGAAAUUCGUAGAUAUUCGGAGGAACACCAGUGGCGAAGGCGGCUCACUGGCUCGGUACUGACGCUGAGGUGCGAAAGCGUGGGGAGCAAACAGG